UUGGAACACCGGUUCCCACACGAUCACUGAAGUUAAGCAACGUCGAGCAUGGUAAGUCCCUAGAUGGGCGGCGACCGCUUGUGAUUACUAAGUGCUGUAAG